UAAAAAUGAAGCAAAUAUUGCAAUCAGUUUCGACCUGAACGUAGGUUAAUCCCAUUUUUAU
rnacentral:tRNA from 2 species